rnacentral:rRNA from 1 species
AGUCGACGGCAGCCGGGGGCAACCCUGGUGGCGAGUGGCGAACGGGUGAGUAAUACAUCGGAACGUGCCCAGUCGUGGGGGAUAACUACGCGAAAGCGUAGCUAAUACCGCAUACGAUCUACGGAUGAAAGCGGGGGAUCGCAAGACCUCGCGCGAUUGGAGCGGCCGAUGGCAGAUUAGGUAGUUGGUGGGGUAAAGGCUCACCAAGCCAACGAUCUGUAGCUGGUCUGAGAGGACGACCAGCCACACUGGGACUGAGACACGGCCCAGACUCCUACGGGAGGCAGCAGUGGGGAAUUUUGGACAAUGGGCGCAAGCCUGAUCCAGCCAUUCCGCGUGCAGGAUGAAGGCCCUCGGGUUGUAAACUGCUUUUGUACGGAACGAAACGCGCUGAGUUAAUACCUCGGCGUAAUGACGGUACCGUAAGAAUAAGCACCGGCUAACUACGUGCCAGCAGCCGCGGUAAUACGUAUGGUGCAAGCGUUAAUCGGAAUUACUGGGCGUAAAGCGUG